GACCAAGAGUGGUGUAGUGGUUUGAGCCUUGGACUAUGACUCUAAAGAGCAGGGUUCAAAUCCCAGUUUGGCCA